GUCUAUGGCCAUACCAACCUGAAUGUAUCUAAUCUUAUCUGAUCUCAGAAGCUAAGCAGGGUAGGGGCUGGUUAGUAAUUGGAUGGGGGACAUCCGGGGAAUACCAUGUGCUUUUAAAG
rnacentral:rRNA from 1 species